rnacentral:rRNA from 1 species
UACGUAGGGGGCAAGCGUUGUCCGGAAUCAUUGGGCGUAAAGCGCGCGUAGGCGGCCCGGUAAGUCCGCUCUGAAAGUCCAGGGCUUAACCCUGGAAAGCGGGUGGAUACUGCCGGGCUUGAAUCCGGAAGAGGCGAGUGGAAUUCCUGGUGUAGCGGUGGAAUGCGCAGAUAUCAGGAGGAACACCAAUAGCGAAGGCAGCUCGCUGGGACGGUAUUGACGCUAAGGCGCGAAAGCGUGGGGAGCGAACAGG